rnacentral:rRNA from 1 species
GUCCACACCGUAAACGAUGAUUACUAGGUGUUGGAGGAUUGACCCCUUCAGUGCCGCAGUUAACACAAUAAGUAAUCCACCUGGGGAGUACGACCGCAAGGUUGAAACUCAAAGGAAUUGACGGGGGCCCGCACAAGCAGUGGAGUAUGUGGUUUAAUUCGACGCAACGCGAAGAACCUUACCAAGUCUUGACAUCCUGCGACGCACAUAGAAAUAUGUGUUUCCUUCGGGACGCAGAGACAGGUGGUGCAUGGUUGUCGU